rnacentral:lncRNA from 1 species
GAGUUUCUGAGUCAUAUGUGAAGUUUUGUAUUAUCUCAGAUUGGUUAUUGCCAAUUCUGUCAGAAAGUGAUUGUUUUUCUGAUGUUGUUCUAGGUUGGUUAUUUUCAGUUGUUUCUGGCCUAUCCAGAGCAACUUUGGAUUGAUUUUCUGUUAUAAUUUCAGACUGGUCAGGCUUAUCAUUUUCAGCUAUAUCUGGCAUGUCUGAAUAUUGAUUUUCUGGUAUGAUAUCAGGCUGGCCAGACUGAUUAUUU